CUCAUCCUCUGAGCCGAUCAUCACCAUGUUCGCUGUGAAAGCAGUUUGCCUCCUUUCCACCGUCGCUCUGCUUGUUGCAAUGGUGGCUGCGAGCCAUCCGGAUAAAAAAGUCUGCUUUCUAAAUGAUGAUGGCAGUCUUGAGUGCUCAACUCAGUAAAGAAAAAGAGACGUCAAUCAUCCACUGAAAACAGUGUGUAGUUAAUUUAAAUAAAGUAGUCGUGCAUACCUA